GAUGAACGCUAGCGACAGGCUUAACACAUGCAAGUAGAGAGGCAGCAUAGAAGUAGCAAUACUUUGGUGGCGACCGGCGCACGGGUGAGUAACGCGUAUGAAACCUACCUAUCAGAGGUGAAAAACACGGCGAAAGUAGGACUAAUACCGCAUAAAACAGGAGCACCGCAGGGUGAUAUUAGUUAAAGUAAUUAGCCGAUAGAGGGGCAUGCGUUCCAUUAUGUAGUUGGUCAGGUAACGGCUCACCAAGCCGACGAUGGAUAGGGGGACUGAGGAGUUGGACCCCCACUCUGGUACUGAGACACGGACCAGACUCCUACGGGAGGCAGCAGUGAGGAAUAUUGGUCAAUGGGCGGGAGCCUGAACCAGCCAAGUCGCGUGAAGGAAGAAGGAUAUAUGGUUCGUAAACUUCUUUUGCAGGGGAAUAAAGUGCAGGACGUGUCCUGUUUUGUAUGUACCCUGAGAAUAAGGAUCGUCUAACUCCGUGCCAGCCGCCGCCGUAA
rnacentral:rRNA from 1 species